rnacentral:misc_RNA from 1 species
GAUGAAGAACGUAACGAAAUGCGAUAAGUAAUGUGAAUUGCAGAAUUCCGUGAAUCAUCGAAUCUUUGAACGCACAUUGCGCCCUCUGGUAUUCCGGGGGGCAUGCCUGUCCGAGCGUCAUUUGCAACCCUCAAGCCCGGCUUGUGUGAUGGGUGCCGUCCCCUACGGGACGCGCCCCGAAGGCAAUGGCGGCGUCGCGGUUAUCCGAUCAGCCAAAGUGUAUGGGGCUUUGUCACUCACUUUACGGCCCGGACCGGCGCCAGUCCGAAUCAAUCUUUUUUCUAAAGUUGACCUCGGAUCAGGCAGGGAUACCCGCUGAACUUAAGCAUAUCAAUAAGCGGAGGA